AGUACUGGCUGUCCAGAGUCGAGACCCAGGAUGGACCGCUCGUCGGGACCCAGGAUGGACCGCUCGCCUGUAUUGGUUGGGGACAUCUCUACGCUGCUGAUCCGCCUCCGCUUGAGAUGGUUUCCGCCUCCGCUUGAGAUGGUUUCCUGUGGACGGGACUCUCGCUGCUGUCUUGGAUCCGCUUGAACUGAACUCUCGCGGCUGUGUUGGAGCCACUAUGGAUUGAACUUUCACAGUAUCAUGUUAGACCCGCUCCACAUCCAUUGCUUUCGGUCCCCUAGAGGGGGGGGGGGGUUGCCCACAUCUGAGGUCCUCUCCAAGGUUUCUCAUAGUCAGCAUUGUCACUAGCGUCCCACUGGAUGUGAAUUCUCCCUGCCCACUGGGUGUGAGCUUUCCUUGCCCUUUUGUGGGUUCUUCCGAGGAUGUUGUAGUCGUAAUGAUUUGUACAGUCCUUUGAGACAUUUGUGAUUUGGGGCUAUAUAAAUAAACAUUGAUUGAUUGAUUGAUUUAUAUAGUAUUGGAGUGUCGAAAUGAAUAAAGGAAAAGCUGGAAAAGGAUGAAGAAGAACUGGUAAAGAAGUGGAAUCAAAUAAAAGAUCAAGAAGGACUGUAAAGUUGCUGAGUAGACUGGUAUAGUGGUGGUGCAUUAAACUGGCAGCAGAUAUAAUAUGUGAUACUUUCUUUUUCUUCCUGCAGUCAUCCCGUCCUGCAGCAUGCACCUAUGUGAAUGUGGAGAAUGACCAGCAAUGUCCAAGGGGUAGCAGCAGGGUAACACUGCAUGAGGCGGUGCCCCCUGAAGGAGCCCAAAACACUGCUCUUCAAAUGGAACACAUCCAACCUUCAGGUGACCGUGCAGGAUGUACCACUCUGGAACAUCAAGCCUCUCCCCACCUGCCAGGUACACCCACCGUCUUCUGUGGCUGAAUAAUGUUUUGCUGUGAAUUUUGUCACAAAGCAAAUCCUGCUCAAAUGUGACAAACUUUGGAGUGUAAGAAUGUGAGCGAUAUGCUGAGAUGUUAUACGUUUUGCCUUGUGACAAAAUGUUAUCAAAAACCUUUAGUGAUUUGUAUUCUAUUUUACUUUCAGCACAUGAAAAUAUUUCUACUUCUGACCAUCGAAGAGAAUGGAAAACCAUUUUCCAGAUCAGCCCUCAUACAUCCUCCUGAUGGCCUAACAACUGAAUGACAUGUCGAUGCUGAGUAUGAUCCAUUUCAAUCAUUUGAGGAAGCUCUCCCUGAUAUAGGGGAUUGGAUGUACAAUGACGGACAUACGUUUAAUGAAGGAUUUGAAGAUGGUUUGAGUGAGGAGUGUGCAGAAGAGUCCAAUUUCAAGGACACAACAGACAAACCAAUACAUGACAAUGCAUCAGAAACCAUGGCAGAGCGCCUUCUGAUCAGCAUGGGUUAUGUAAACUGUCCUAAAGUCACAGGUAAGGCCCUAAGCCAUAUGCUCAAAAUGUUCAAGUUGCUUUAUCCCGAUAGUCUGAACACAGACUGCUUAAACAGUGUGCAGAAGUUCCAAAACUUUUUUUUAUCCCACUCUGCAUCAUCGCCUACUAUAUUACAUAAAUCCUCCAAGAAUUGUUUUGGGCCAAUAGAAAGUAAACAAAUAAAAUGCCUGCUUUGUGGGACCAGUGUGUCAGAAGAAAGGUUCUAAUCCUUUUUUUAAAGUAUGUACAGAUUGAUUUCUUGUUUACCACAGCACAUUCAUGUGCCAAAUGGGCCCUCGUUGGUGAAUAUAAACAUGCAGGUUUUUCUUUGCUGCAAGAUAGUGUAACAUAUGAGACAUGCAGUCAUGUUAUUCCCCUAUUGGAAACCUCUGCAGUACAGUAGUAUUCUUGGAUGACAUAUUGGGUAAAGUUGUUUUCCUUGACUUCACAUCUAUGCCUGGCAUAGUGAUUGCAGUUCAUUUCCCCAACACACUUGAAAAGUUUGAAAUAAUGAAGAACUGAACUGGCCUAAGAAGCCACAAAUCAAAUCUUUAAUCAUUGUUAUAAAUGCUCUGAAAAUACACACUGAUGUGAUGUUGCCGUGGAUUCUGUAAAUAUGUACUGUAUAUGGAGUAUCAUUGUUGAUGAUGUUUUUGCAUUGUGUGUAAUAUUUCAGUGGCAAAUAUAUUACAUUUACUUGUUUAAUAAAGCCACUGUCCUUUUUAAUGAAUACAUAGGCCUACUAUGCUACUGUAUUUUAAUAUUAGUCCUUAUGAUGGUGGUUGGAGAGCCAAAUAUCUUCUGAAGUGGUACUUUGUUAAAAGAGUUUGAGAACCACUGCUCUAGAAAGUUCACAAAUGUUAAAAGCUCUUAAAAAGUGUCUUGUGAUCAUAUCAGUAUUGUUUGGGUUCAGUUUUAAAUCUCACAAUUGUAGUCACUGAGUUACUGUACAUGACGUGUGGAUAAGAAAUCAACAAAUUAAGUCCAACUUUAUUUAAAUAAACCAUUUAGAUUACAGACCAUA